CGGAGCUCGGCUCGGGCUCCGCGGGCGGGCGGGCGGACAUGGCGGCCAACAUGUACCGGGUCGGAGAUUAUGUCUACUUUGAGAAUUCCUCCAGCAAUCCAUACCUCAUCAGAAGGAUAGAAGAACUCAACAAGACUGCAACUGGCAACGUGGAAGCAAAAGUAGUGUGCUUUUAUAGACGACGAGAUAUUUCCAACACGCUUAUAAUGCUUGCAGACAAGCAUGCUAAAGAAAUUGAGGAAGAAUCUGAAACAACAAUUGAGGCUGACUUGACUGAUAAACAGAAACAUCAGUUGAAACAUAGGGAACUCUUUUUGUCACGCCAGUAUGAAUCUCUGCCUGCAACACAUAUCAGGGGGAAAUGCAGUGUUGCCCUUCUGAAUGAGACAGAGUCAGUGUUAUCGUAUCUAGAUAAAGAGGAUACCUUUUUCUACUCAUUGGUCUAUGACCCCUCAGUGAAAACACUAUUAGCUGACAAAGGUGAAAUCAGAGUGGGACCUAGAUAUCAAGCAGACAUUCCAGAAAUGCUCUUAGAAGGAGAAUCAGAUGAGAGGGAGCAGUCAAAAUUGGAAGUGAAAGUUUGGGACCCAAAUAGCCCACUUACAGAUCGACAGAUUGACCAGUUUUUAGUUGUAGCACGUGCUGUUGGGACAUUUGCUCGAGCCCUUGAUUGCAGCAGUUCUGUAAGGCAGCCUAGUUUGCAUAUGAGUGCAGCUGCAGCUUCUCGAGACAUCACUCUGUUUCAUGCUAUGGAUACGUUGUAUAGGCACAGCUAUGAUUUGAGCAGCGCAAUUAGUGUCUUAGUACCACUUGGGGGACCUGUUUUAUGCAGAGAUGAAAUGGAAGAAUGGUCGGCCUCUGAAGCUAGUUUAUUUGAAGAGGCACUGGAAAAAUAUGGCAAAGAUUUCAAUGACAUACGCCAAGACUUUCUCCCUUGGAAAUCGUUGACUAGCAUCAUUGAAUAUUAUUACAUGUGGAAAACUACUGACAGAUACGUGCAGCAGAAACGUCUAAAAGCAGCAGAAGCUGAGAGUAAACUGAAACAAGUGUAUAUCCCAACUUACAGCAAACCAAAUCCCAAUCAGAUAUCCACCAGCAAUGGCAAACCUGGUGCUGUGAAUGGAGCCGUGGGAACCACGUUCCAGCCACAGAAUCCUCUCCUUGGGCGAGCCUGUGAGAGCUGCUAUGCUACACAGUCGCAUCAGUGGUAUUCUUGGGGCCCACCUAAUAUGCAGUGUAGAUUAUGUGCAACCUGUUGGCUCUAUUGGAAAAAAUAUGGAGGCUUGAAAAUGCCCACCCAGUCGGAAGAGGAGAAGUUAUCUCCCAGCCCAGCUGCAGAGGACCCUCGCGUUAGAAGUCACAUGUCUCGCCAGGCCAUGCAGGGGAUGCCGGUCCGAAACACUGGGAGCCCCAAGUCUGCAGUGAAGACCCGCCAAGCUUUCUUCCUUCACACUACAUAUUUCACAAAAUUUGCUCGUCAGGUCUGCAAAAAUACCCUCCGGCUGCGGCAGGCAGCAAGACGGCCGUUUGUUCCUAUUAAUUAUGCUGCCAUUAGGGCAGAAUAUGCAGACAGACAUGCGGAACUAUCUGGAAGUCCACUGAAAAGCAAAAGCACUAGGAAACCUUUGGCAUGUAUCAUUGGGUAUUUAGAGAUUCAUCCUUCGAAGAAACCUAAUGUAAUUCGAUCGACACCAAGCCUGCAAACCCCAACUACCAAGCGGAUGCUAACCACCCCGAAUCACACGUCUCUGAGCAUUUUGGGGAAAAGAAACUACAGUCAUCACAAUGGCCUGGAUGAAAGGCUCAUGAAGUGAAGGCGCAGCUCUGCUCUAUCCUGCAGACCUUCCUCAGGAUGGCGGGAGGCUGUGAAGGUGAGCAUCCCUGUGCCUCUCUUGGCUGUGGAGUGGCGUGCGUGAUGGGAGAGAGGACCUGAGCGCUGCCUUGGCCCGAGCACCUGGUCCCAUCUCAGCAGACACCCCCCACUUCCCUCCUAGCCACUUUCCUAAUGACCAACCACAAGUUUUCACAACCUGCUGUGUAAUAUCAGAUGGUGACGGUGUCAUUUGCCAACCACUUCUCCUUUCUCAUUUACUUGUUUCUACUGAGAAUCUGCCGGUGCCCAGCUCUGGGUCAGGGAGAGAACUCACAUGCUGCGUGUCAGACUGAGCUGUCCCUAUUUAAUCCUAUAAUCCAAGACUUGCUACACUGUCCUGCUGAUGUUCACAGCUGUGCCUGGGAAGGAGGCAACCCCAUCCCCCGUCCAUUUCAGUGGGAGACCUCUGUGUGCACCCCACGGAGACUUGAUGGGGCAAGGAAAGAAAUUGUGGGAGUGCACGUCCCCAGAACUGCAUCUCCAUGUGUGAAUCAGUGUCACCUUGCUUUCCUCUCGGAGACCUCGCUGCCCCAGAGAGGGACCUGCCUGGGGAGUCGAGGGGGUAGGGGAGCCACUGCGUGUCCCCUCUCCUCCCGAGCUCUGCACCCAGGCACCGCGGCUCCUGGGGCAGUGGAGCUGCUGCGUGCCCAGCUGUGUCACAUGUCAGCUGUGUGAGUGUGUACAGGAGGGACAUGGCAUCCUUCUGAAUGGAUUUUUCUUAAGACAUGUGCCAGUGUUUAUGCGGUUCAUGAUACUCCCUCGUCCUUGCUGUUACUGUCACUCGGCUUUUCCUCAGUAGACUUCACACUUAUUUUUUUUAAUGGGGAAAUUUUGUCCUUCACCCUCUGCAUCCUGUAUUUGACCCCCUACCUCCACCCCACCAAGGUACAGAAUGACCUAUGGUUCUGACAAAAGAUAAGAAAAUUGUCUUUGGUAAGCUUGUGAA